rnacentral:misc_RNA from 1 species
GAUGAAGAACGUAGCGAAAUGCGAUAAGUAGUGUGAAUUGCAGAAUUCAGUGAAUCAUCGAAUCUUUGAACGCACAUUGCGCCCCAUGGUAUUCCGUGGGGCAUGCCUGUUCGAGCGUCAUUUACCCCCUCAAGCUCCGCUUGGUGUUGGGCGUCUGUCCCGCUUCGCGCGCGGACUCGCCCCAAAGGUAUUGGCAGCGGUCGUGCCAGCUUCUCGCGCAGCACAUUGCGCUUCUCGAGGCACCGGUGGGCCCGCGUCCAUCAAGCUCACCCCCCCAGUUUGACCUCGGAUCAGGUAGGGAUACCCGCUGAACUUAAGCAUAUUAAUAAGCGGAGGA